ensembl:lncRNA
GUGAUUUGUUUUGUAGCGUGGGCACAAGCUUCAGUCAAUGAGUCGACCAUGAAAUCCGUCUGAUAGGUAAGAUGUGGGUAUAACUGGGUCAUGCAGCAGGUUUACGAUCCCAGAUACAGCAGCAAAUCUACAACAGCAUGGCUGAAAAAGAAAAGAAUCAAGGUGUUGCAAUGACCCAGGCAAAGUCCAGACGUCAACCUGAAACCCUGUGAUGUGAAGAGAGCUGUGCAUAAACAAAUGACCGCAGUCUCUUUUAUUUUCUUUAUGUAAAGAAGAUGGGCCAGAAUUCCUCCACAGAAACUGAUAAAGAGAUAACAGAAAGCAAUUACUUAAAUUAUUGCCGCUAAAAGCUGUUCUAUAAGCUACUCAACGCUUGGCUGUAUUUGUUUUUUUUUUUUUGUUUUGUUUUGUUUUUUCACAGUUCUCGGUCUUCAGAGAGGUACUUCAGUGUGUAUAUCACCAGAUGCAGGAAAUGUUUGCUUUUCUGACUUAUUACCUGGUACUGGACUUUAACCCUGAGCUCCUGGAAUAUACUGUGUCCUUUGUCCGGGACCUCCCCUUCACUGAACCACUACAGGCGAGGUUCCCGCUCAGCCCACAUUAUUGAUUCCCUGCAUUAUUCCAUCCUCGCUACCUUGCCUCUUGUUCCCCUUUCAUCCUCUAAUUUGAUCUCUCUCCCUCCCACAGAGUCUCUCUUCAUUGAGAUGCCGUCCCCUUCCCCACAUCCAUCAGAGCAUCGCCUCCCUCUCCCACUCCUCUUAUCUCAUUACUCUCUCUAAUUAGCCCCAAACGAGCCCGUAGGAACCAAUAACACGCCUUUGCUCACACAUAUCAAUGAGUUUCUCACACACGUAGAGACACAUGCACAUCUGCAAAGCCACAUUUCAUUUGUGUCUGUGUGUGUGGAUCUGCGAGUGUGACUCACAUCAGUCUUUUUGACUAUUUGAACUUGCUGAUAUGGCCAUUAGUUUAGACAGACCUUUCUUUGGUUCAUUAUGCAAGUAGGAAAGGAAGUGUGUGUGUGUGUGUGUGUGUGUGUGUGUGUGUGUGUGUGUGUGUGUGUGUGUGUGUGUGUGUGUGUGUGUGUGUGUGUGUGUGUGUGUGUGUGUGUGUGUGCUCGCUGGUCACCUCCUGGUAUAUAGUUCUGCCUGGGACAGAGUGGUUCACCAUCAAC